CUUUUCCCAGAGUCUGUGCGGACCCGGAUGCAGCUCACGAUGGGCCUGGAGUGUCACAUGGGUGACACGCGUGUGGCCAGCGUGCGGCAGCUGUGUGCGCAGUCAGUGCUUGCUGUGAGGAUGCUGUCCUAGGCUGUCACACCCACACGUGUUCGUGGAUCGAAAGAACCCCCCCCCUCCCAGCCGGGCAUCUGUGUGAUGGGGAGACAGCAGGUCACGUCCCCGUGACCUCGGUCCCUGGAGGGAGACCCUCCGAGCCCGUGUCUUCCCCUGGAAAUCACCUCCCCAGGUCGGCGGCCGGGCACCGAGAUGCUCAGGGAAGCAGGUGGGGUGCACCCAGCCGGCGGCUAUGACAUCGAACGUCGCUGUCGUGAAGAACCCCGCUCCCGUCGGAGGCUUCCGCGCGGCCACAGCGCCCAUCUCCCCGGAGGGUCGGGGAGGCUGACGGGCGGAGGCGAGAGAAUCGGAGCCCUUCACAGGCGGCCGGCCGCACAGGAGCGAACCUCAAAAUUGAGGACAUGCGCUUGGGGCGUCCACACAGACAGGAUAAACCCAAGAAAAUUCCCAAGACAGGAGGCCACACGGAACCAGCUUGAAUGUACACCCCGAAGGCCAGCUUCAGCCUUGAGCUCACCCCGCAGUCUCCACCCCCAGCAGACAGGGGGUCCGCGGUGUGGGCCCCAGAGAACUGGCCCCUCCGCGUCUGAGUGGCACCCGCGGCUCCCGCCUCACCGGGGAGGAAGGAAAGGGGUGGGUUUGCUGGUAUCCAACACCCCGUCCGGGCGUGAGAGCCUCCCGUAGGCUGGCGCCCCAGGGCCCAGCACCCCCGUCCCCAACGCACCCCGGACGGAGCCCCGAGUCCCGUUCUCUCCAGGACCCAGCGAGCCGUGAGACCAGCCGCUCACGGGCCUGUGCGAACCACUUUACCAGCGCCGACGCCUGCUCCGUCUGCUCACCGGUGCGCACCCGGCUUAUGGCUCAGACCAGGCUCCUGUGGGAUGAAUCCAUGACACCUUCUUCGAAGCUGUCCAACAAUCCAGGUCACUCAGGAGGGUUCACACGAUGGGUACAGGUCACAUAUGUCCGAGGGGGAAAGAAAUCGGGGCCCUGGCCGGUGUGGUUCAGUGG